GAUGAACGCUGGCGGCGUGCCUAAUACAUGCGAGUCGAGCGAACGGACGAGAAGCUUGCUUUUCGGAUGUUAGCGGCGGACGGGUGAGUAACACGUGGAUAACCUACCUAUAAGACUGGGAUAACUUCGGGAAACCGGAGCUAAUACCGGAUAAUAUUUUGAACCGCAUGGUUCAAAAGUGAAAGACGGUCUUGCUGUCACUUAUAGAUGGAUCCGCGCUGCAUUAGCUAGUUGGUAAGGUAACGGCUUACCAAGGCAACGAUGCAUAGCCGACCUGAGAGGGUGAUCGGCCACACUGGAACUGAGACACGGUCCAGACUCCUACGGGAGGCAGCAGUAGGGAAUCUUCCGCAAUGGGCGAAAGCCUGACGGAGCAACGCCGCGUGAGUGAUGAAGGUCUUCGGAUCGUAAAACUCUGUUAUUAGGGAAGAACAUAUGUGUAAGUAACUGUGCACAUCUUGACGGUACCUAAUCAGAAAGCCACGGCUAACUACGUG
rnacentral:rRNA from 1 species